rnacentral:misc_RNA from 1 species
GAGAAGAACGUAGCGAAAUGCGAUAAGUAGUGUGAAUUGCAGAAUUCAGUGAAUCAUCGAAUCUUUGAACGCACAUUGCGCCUCCUGGUAUUCCGGGAGGCAUGCCUGUUCGAGCGUCAUUAAAAUCACUCAAGCUUAGGUUUACCUAUUGCUUGGUCUUGGAGAUGGAAGCCAAUUUAUUGGAAUCCUCUUCGAAAUUCAAUGGCGAAGACCCUUGCUCUCCCAAGUGUAGUAAUAACUUAUGUCACUGAAGGAAGCGAGAAAUCUUCUGCCGUAACCCCCAUAUUUUCUAUGAUUGACCUCGGAUCAGGUAGGGAUACCCGCUGAACUUAAGCAUAUCAAUAAGCGGAGGA